rnacentral:rRNA from 1 species
GACGAACGCUGGCGGCGUGCUUAACACAUGCAAGUCGAACGGAAAGGCCCUGCUUUUGUGGGGUGCUCGAGUGGCGAACGGGUGAGUAACACGUGAGUAACCUGCCCUUGACUUUGGGAUAACUUCAGGAAACUGGGGCUAAUACCGGAUAGGAGCUCCUGCUGCAUGGUGGGGGUUGGAAAGUUUCGGCGGUUGGGGAUGGACUCGCGGCUUAUCAGCUUGUUGGUGGGGUAGUGGCUUACCAAGGCUUUGACGGGUAGCCGGCCUGAGAGGGUGACCGGCCACAUUGGGACUGAGAUACGGCCCGGACUCCUACGGGGGGCAGCGGUGGGGAAUAUUGCACAAUGGGCGGAGGCCUGAUGCAGCACCGCCGCGUGCGGGAUGACGGCCUUCGGGUUGUAAACCGCUUUCGCCUGUGACGAAGCGUGAGUGACGGUAUUGGGUAAAGAGGCACCGGCUAACUACGU